AAAAAGUGGGUACUUUGCAAUUUUGCCUUAGCUUCAUUUUAAGGUAGAUCUAUGUCAGAGUUCAAAUUCAGUGUUCAAUGACUUACUGCCUGACUGUACAAUGAUCUGUCUAGUCUCCUAAAGGAAGCCAGAAGAAAAGAAGAGUGAUCUGGUAAAAAGAGGGCUGAGAUCCUCCAAGAACUGAGUUUGUGUUCCAGCUCUGUCACUAUUUGAUUAUCAACGGGCAAUUUAUGUAAUCUGUUUUAAAUCAUGGUUUCCAUACCAGUAAAAGGGAUAUAAUAAUUUAGAUCCUGCAUAUCUUGAGACUAGAUGAGUCAGUGUGUGUGGUGCUUUAUAAUACUGAUGUGUUUUUGACUUAACAGGCCCCGUUGACUGGAGGAUGGCCAUUUGACAACACAUUAUUUCCUGAGGAAACUUUUGACUUCUGGUGACUUGGGCCCCAGGCUGGCUGAAUUUGCCAAGACCCGGCUUUGCCCUUGCAUGUGUGAAAAAUGGCCUCAAGUAUGACCCCAUGGCAAGAUGGAAAGAAACUGUGCUCUUGAAUAGCUUAGAGAUUCAGAGCCCCCCAACCAGCUUGAAACGCCCACCUCAAAACAAUGACAUGAGAAGAAACAAACCUCUAAUUUAAGCCACUGUCUUUUUAAGAGCAUUGUAGUUUGAGAUCUCUUUCUUUCAGCUGUUUAGUCCCCAGCUAAACACUUACUGACCUUAUCUUACAGGUCAAGAAAAAUGAAGUUCUGGGGUACAAGUCACUAAUGUAUUAGAAAUUUUCCAGCUCUCCCUCCUUGCCCAGCAGAGUAUAUUUCCACUCAAACACAAUGAACCCAUUUGGAAUGGGACAAAACAAAAUGGGGUGGGCCUGGAACAAGAGAAAGUUCAGCUACACAGGAUCCAGGUCAAAACUCUUUAAUCCUCCCAUUUCUGGAUUUCAAAUGAACACCUUUUUGUCUAGCAGUUCUCCUCCAGAGGUUUGCUUUCCCACAACAGCUUGUCAACAGUGUAAGAAGUUCAAAAAGAACUUUUGGGGUUGCACGUUGCAGGUUGUGUGGCAUCAUCCCAGCUUGUCUCAACACCUCUGAUGAACAGUAGCGGAAGAAAGGACUCUUUCCACAUGAGUUCCUCGGCGGUCCCCGUCUCUUAGGGAGUUUAUAAAAAAAUCCAUCAUCUUGUUCUACUAAACCCAAGUAAAUAUAAUUAACACCAAAUGUGUGUUCUGCUCAUCAAAUUGUACAGCCAUAAAGAGAUAAUCUUUGUAAAAUAAAUGACUAGGCUUCCUUGAUAAGUCAAUAAGGCAAAAACCUUGGGAGUAAAUUAAGACAAAUGGGAAACCAGCUGGAAGAAAUCAAACAGGCAAAGCAGGUGGGGUGGCUUGUGUUUGGGAAGAUAAAACACAGCAUGAAGCAUUUGCACAUUUACACAAAAGCAAGAUCUAUAACCUUAUGCUUUGAACUGAGCUAAAUGCAUGACUUAUUUAAGAAGAGCUGGUAGCUGGGAACUGGUUGAACUAAGAGUGUCAAGACCAAUUCUGAUGAUGUUUUCUUGUACUUUGCCUGUUUUUACAUGCUCUGAAGAUUGCCAAACAACCAGCAGCAGAUGGUCCUGUAUCUAAGUGCAAUGCUAAGUGGUGUGAGGGAUGGCAUGAUUGACCAUUUACUCAGAGGAGCAUAAAAGAAGGAAUUCUUGUUAAAAAUGCCUCUGUUGUAUCAAGUGGCUGUAAAACAGGCAAGAGAAUCUGGGAACUCUUAUAUCCAAGAGCAAGAUGGAUACACUUGGAUUGAAAAAUGCAGCCAAGACCCACAAAUGCCAAGUCCUUGCCACAGAACAAGCUGUCCAGCUGGAAGAAACUAGAGGAAUCCCCAAACCAUUUGUCCUCUGACUCAAGAACACCAGAAUUAUACCAAGACAAAACUGUGCAGCUAUCACUGUUCUGCACAGGUGUACCGCCUUGUGAAGUGAUCCGGGAGACUUCUGUGUUACCAAACCCUCCUCACAUACACUCACUCCCACUAAAACAUCUCCUUCUAUACAAAUUAGAAACUGAGGCUCCCAGAAAACAACUUGAAAGGAAUGUAGAGAAACUUAUGAUUGUCAGAUUUAGCAAAUAAAAAUACAAGGAUGCCCAGUUGAACUUGAAUUUCAUACAAACUACAAGUAAUUUUUAAUAUAAGUAUGUCCCAAGUCUUAAAAGAGGACUACAAAUAAUUUGUUAGUGUGAGUGUGCCCGUAAGUAUUUGGGACAUACUCACACUAACAAAUUAUUUGUCAUUUAUCUGAGAUUCAAACUUAACUGGGCAUUCUAUACUUAACUUGGCAAUUUGAGGAAGGGUGAAAAAAGAGAAUACAUUAUUACAUUGCAUCAUGGAGAUACAGACCUUAAAAAUAAAAAUGUUGUAGGCUGAGGCCAAGACACAGAAGCCUUUGCAGCAGUGCUAAUUGGGCAUUAUAAGUUUAUAUUUAUUAACUCUUUUCAGAAAUCAUAAUCUUGAAGGAAAAUAUCCCAAAUCAUCUCAAUACAGACAAUAUCCGUACAAGGAUACUACUUGACAUAUUCAAUCAAAACAAUAUGAAUUCUUACAAACUAAGAAUUGGACUAGAAUUUAGAAUGUAUGCUCAUUGGCCUUUUAGCUAUUUAUAGCUGGAGUCCCACAGAUACCAAAUGUCAUGAAUGGAAAUCCACAUGCCCAUCAUUGACAAUCUAAACAGAACUUGUUUGAUUAAGAAUAAAGGAGGAGGAAAACAACAAAGGAAACUAUAUUUCAGAAUAUGGGAACGUGAUUACUAUCCCAAGAAUAUAAAAAAGUAUUUUUAUACUAUCUGACAUAACCAAAAGAAUAUGAAUUACAUGAAACAAGAGCCAGAAGGUACAAGGAUGAAUUAAGAAGCUUGUUAGGCGAGUUAAAGACAUUUCAAGAAAUUGAAAAUAUAGGAGUAUUAGAGUCUUUAUUGAAAUCAGUGAAGGAAUUGACAAUGUCUAUCAU
rnacentral:lncRNA from 1 species